rnacentral:lncRNA from 1 species
UAGUGUUGUUAAAUAGGACGGGUUUGACAUUUAAAAUAAAAUAAAAUAGGACGGGUUUAAUUUACUGCUGCCAGUGAGAACAAUGAAUAUUGUGCCUCUGAUCAUUAGCGUUUUGAUGAAUAACAUCCCAACCGUUUUGGCAGUACCGCUAAAGGUUGUGCGUUUUGGCUUGGAAACUAACCUGAAUAGCCAUGGACUUUUUUUCUUUGCUAUUGUCCUGAUCCCUGCUUCUGUGCACUUGAGGCUGCACCUAUGUAUUUGAUGUGGAACCUAAAACUAAACUGCAGUACUGUUGUUCUCCGAGUUUCUUAUAUAAGAACACUGUCCAAAAUUAGGGAACUACUACUAUGAUCUGGGCGGUGCUUUGAACAAAGAAAUUUUACACCAGUGUUCAAAAAAGAUAGCAAGGUUAAAACGACAUAGAGCGAAGGUGCUAAGAGUCGAUGGACUAAACAAAGCGAGCCCCGAUUCUAGACAUCAUUCAAGUGUUUGCUGUGUCACUGUCAUCCACCCAUGAUUCGAGUUUAAGCAGCUGGAUGGUCAAUCUUAACUACUUGCACUACUAGCAGUAGACAGUUGCCAAAGGGGAAUAACUGAAAACUCUUGCCCGAUCUCUAUCCACUAUUACCAGUAGACACUAGACAGUAACAAUCGCUUGCCCGCUUUUGCAUUCAUCGCCUCAUCUUUCAUCACUAAGCGAACAACUUUUUAAACCUGGCACAUCACAACGUUAAUGCAAAUGAUACCAAGAUCAAAGUCUACAUGCUAAUAUUUAACUAGAGGGCAGAAAAUAGGAAGAAAAGAAACAGCAGAAUCUGAAAAUGUAGAGCUGAAUAGAUGUCCUAGAAAGUAGCAAGGGAGCAAGAACCCCUACUGAUGAACACCAUGACCAACAAGUGAAGGCAGCUAGAGGGGACACGAUCUGAAAAUGUGCUGCCAAAGAAACAGAGGACAGC